rnacentral:misc_RNA from 1 species
AUAAGUGUGUGCGUUUAAGUUAUGUUAUCGUCGCGAGAGCUUCGUUUAGUAAACGACAAUAAAGUCAAACCCAAGCAAGGUGGUUGAAAUCUGUGAAGAGAACACUCUGCCAUCGCAAUCUCAAGAGCGGUGAAACAAACAUGGAUUACACAGCUUAAAACAUCUGCAAUAGAUGUAAAGGCCAUAGAUAGAUAGAGAUAGACAGAAUAGCAAUUGGAGACUAUCAAAAUUGUAGAGAAAACAUUAUACUUUUGUUACAAAUAUAACCUAAU